ACCUUGUUGUUUAUCCAUCCUAUAUAUAAUAGUUUGCAUCUGCCAAUCCCAAACUCCCAAUCCAUCCCUCCCCUACUUUCUGCUUUUAUGUCCAGACUGCUCUAGAUAAUAAAUGCAGGCUAUAAAGCUGUUUACCAGGAACUGUUGUGACAUAAACUAGGGCUAUUGGGAGAUCCAAACUCAACUGAAAAACUCUAUUGCCAUGAACUUUGCCCAGGAUAUUGGAACCUUUCUGGACUUUAGUUCCCUUGAUGCUAAAAUGGAAAACAUUUCAUCUAUAAACUAGGUAAUUAUCUCAUUCAAGGGUGCUCUGGUAUUUGACAGGAGCAUGACACCAGCUUUACAGAUAAUGUCAUGAAGUUUUCUGCUAUGGGAGAGCUCGGCAGUGCAUUUAUACACUAACACCCCUUCCCCAAGGGGGUUUUCUGUUGCAAUUGAUAAUCCUAUUAUUCCCUAUUCCCAUAAAUUACAUUUGCAUGAGGGUAUCAGUCAAGUGACAAUUUCUAAGUUGUGACGGUGUCUUCUGUUUGCAAAAUUCUGUUGUGCUGUGUGGUGAUGCCCCCUCCCCCCUCAAUAUCAAGGAAAGGGGUGCUUAGUCCACCUAAAAAUUCCUUGAUCACCUCAUCCUGAGAGUAAUCUCAACUUAAUGUUUCUUACUUCCUACUGGAGGAUGCACCUGUCUCAGGCUAAACACAACACUCAAGGUCCCUGAGACUCAAAUCACGCUAUAUGCUAGAAACCGUCACAUUCAAAAUAAAAUAACUGCGCAAAACCAAACACAUCUCCACAACUAUCUUUGGGCAUUUUCUAUGUAGGAAGAACUCCUUUCUUUUACUAAGGAUAGUAUUUUCUCUCUAGGAAACUGCUAUGUUCUCUAAUGCCUAAAAAAUAAAUGAACAAAACAAACUAGGUCUUACACCAAAUAACACUCUCACUGCUUCUGGCCAUGUAACCAGAACAGAAGUCCGCCUGUGGUCCUUGGGCUUCCAGCUUAAUGCCUGGGAAAGCCGUUUAGAGAAUUUGCUCUUUGCUGCAAUCUCAUUCCAUUUUCCCAUCCAGAAUUUUUCUAGGUAUGACAUGUUCUAGACUUAAUUUUAGCAAAGGGCUCUGAACUUUAAAAGCUCAGUCUCUUCAUUAAAAGUACGUAUCAGUGAAAGAAGAAAAAGGCACAGACUUAAAAAAAAAAAGAAAAAGGUUACUGUGAGCAGGGGGAGAACAUAAGAUACUAUGGAAUAAAUCAGGAUCUAAGGAAAGUUUUUGGUGUUGGAAAAUAUGAGCAACGGUCUGGCCAAGAAAAGAAGCCAGUAGGAAAAGAGACCAAGACCAGAGCACAGCAAUAAUGAUGCAAGAUCCCAAAAGACGUGGUGGGAUCAGUAGCCCAGUGGAGAGAACGUAAGCUCAGAGAAAGGAGUAGAGGGUCACUCUUUAGGACAAGAAGAAAGGACGUAAAGAGUGACAACAAAGAGAAAAUUCAAUGCGAAGGGAAGUUAGAGAGGCACUUUGUAUUGACAGAUAACAGGGUGUUCUGCCAAGAUUUCCCAUGGGGUCUCAGGAAACACGAGGCCAAGAAACAUUAGAAACAGCCAGAAUAGGUCAGCAAAGGAGUUCCUGUCAUUUCGAACGAAAUUUUACCAAGGACUCUUGCAGUAUCUGAGGUCCUUAGGAAGUAGCUCAUGUUCUAUGAAAAAAUGUAAGAGAAAAUUCCAACAAGCAACUCAACUAUGUAAGGCUAAAAACAAAACUGUCUUAUUUCUUCUUAGAAUCUCCUCCAUCCCAAAGCUGCUCAUCAUAAAAACCUGGAAACAAAAGAGUCAGAAGUAGUUCCCAGCUCGAGAGACGUCCGUGAGUCUCAAAGCUCAUGUGCUUUGCCCUGUGCCAAGUAAUGACGACACGACGAUGACUCAACCGUUAUCUUUAGUCUGAAGGACUUUACAGUGUAUAGGGUGAUACAGACUCAAAGCUGACACCUGAAUGCUUGAUCCUGCUGUGAUCCAGCUGUGAAGAGUGGGCACAAUGAAGCAAUAGCCGUCAAUGAAGAGUAGAAUAAAAAUGCAUGUACACUGAAUUGAUUUAUUUUUCUACUCCACUUUGGUAUUGUUUGAUACAUGGUCAAUCAGUUAAUCUGCUAGGAUACUAUUAAAUGCAACCAACAUUUA